rnacentral:rRNA from 1 species
AUUGAACGCUAGCGGGAUGCCUUACACAUGCAAGUCGAACGGAGUGGCGAACGGGUGAGUCAUGUAUCGGAACGUGCCCCGUAGCGGGGGAUAACUACGCGAAAGCGUAGCUAAUACCGCAUACUAUUGGCGCGGCCGAUAUCGGAGUAGCUAGUUGGUGGGGUAACGGCUCACCAAGGCGACGAUCCGUAGCUGGUUUGAGAGGACGACCAGCCACACGUGGACUGAGACAAGGCCCAGACUCCAACGGUAGGCAGCAGUUGGGAAUGUGGAACAAUAGGGGAAACCCUGAUCCAGCCAUCCCGCGUGUGCGAUGAAGGCCUUCGGGUUGUAAAGCACUUUUGGCAGGAAAGCGGUACCUGCAGAAUAAGCACCGGCUAACUACGUGCCAGCAGCCGCGGUAAUAC